CUUGCUCUCAUGCGCAUCAGCUCUAUUCUGAUGCAACAAGCUCCUAGCUUUGUUGACGGUUUUGACCGAGAGUCGAGAAAUGAUUUUUCAAAAACGGUCAUUCUCGCGAUGUUUCAUUUUUAUCGCUGCAACUGUGUGCAUCUGUUAGACGCGUGUUUGAUGCUUGUUGAACGGAAGAUGCCUCUCGUUAAAUACUCAGUGCAAUGCGUGCAUGAAAUUUCGACGUAUUCGCAAAUAAUAUUCGAAAGGAUAAAGGAAAUUUUAAAGAAAAAAAUAUUGUGUAGUCCUACGUCCUAAGCGGUCGUGUCUCGGAUACAACCCCUCGAUUUUUUUUCACGUGAAGAAACCAGAAGAAAAAUCAAAAAUUUGAAAAUCCUCAUUUUGUGACGACAUUGUUUGAAGCUAUUCGACAACCAUCCAACAAGCAGCCAUCAAAAUCCAUUUACGUCGGUGUGCUUCACGACAACAAGAAUUCUUUUGGGCAGUCGCUUACUGACGGUUGAAAACCCUUCGAUCAGGAACGGGUAAGCCCCAUCACCACUAAAAGCUAGAGACGAGAAGAUUGAUUCCUUUUGGAUAUGACAUGACCCGUUCAGAUAUACACUCUGUCCAACUUCUAUAAGACCAGGUGAUGAUCUUGCUGCUUUGCGUCAUUGUAAACAAACAAUGAUUCAACUUAUAUUCUAGUGUUGUCAUGUUUCUAUAAGAAUUACCAGUUACAUUUUCCGUUGUUUUAGUUGCUAUGAUUAAUGAAUUUGGAAAAUGCCGAAGGGAAAAAUGCUCACGGAGAGAGAAGAAAGACAAAUUGAUGCAUUUCACCAAGAAAAUGUUGGUAUCAGAGAAAUUACUCCUAGGAUUGAACGAUCCCAUCAAGUAAUGCUCAAUUAUUUGGCAAAUCCUCGAGGAUACGGUAAGAAGGAGAGAGCUCCACGUAAAUCGAAGCUCUCUGACCGGGAUAAGCGGGAAAUAGCUGAAACAGCUUCGAAUACCUCAAAAUCGCUUAUGCAAAUAAAGCAGUAUUCCAAUUUAAAUGUUACUCGGGUGACAAUUCGUCAAGUUUUGGUGAAAAAUCAUCACAUAAAGAGGACUUAAAAGGUUGACGCUCCUCAUCUUACACCAUCUCACAUCGGAAGACGUCUGAGUUUUGCCAAAGCUCACAUGAACAGACAGUGGGACAUGAUAAGUUGUGACAAAGAAUGUUUCCAAAAGAAUACAUUUUGCUAUAUACCAUAACGAAAAGUUCUUCAAUAAUAUUUUUUUUAUUUUUAUCUCUGCUAGGUUAUCUUCACUAACGAAAAAAAAGUUCAAUUUGGAUGGUCCUGAUGGUUCAACGGAUUCUGGCGUGAUUUACGGAAAAGAACAGUAUUUUUCAACCAGGAAUUUUGGUGGAUGCUCGUGCAUGAUUUGGGCGGGAUACUGUGCAACCUGAAAGCUCAAGAUAGCUUUCACAACAUUCAAAAAUUAGAUACAUGUUCUGGAAUCCUCUCUCCUGAUGUUUUUGCGUGGAUAUCAUCACAAAAAAAACACAUUCCAGCAAAACAAUGCUACUAUUCAUACCAGCAAGAAAACUAAGCAAUGGAUUAGAACCAAAAACAUUUUUUUUUUUGACUGAGCCGGCCAGUAUCAGUUUCCAGACUUGAAUUCUGUUGAAAAUCUUAGGAGGAUCCUUAUACGCAGAAUCUACACUGAAGGAAAACGGUACACCACUAUUGAAGAGCUCAAGGUCGCAAUUUCGGAAACAUGGAAAAAUAUCGAUAAAUCCGUUCAACAGUACUUAGUAAAUAGUAUUUCAGAAAUGGAAAGGUUACCAAUCAUUCGUUUUGAAUUGUUCACUGAUAAUACUUAUGAAUUUUGAAAUGGUCUUAUAGAAACAGGACAGCUGAAAUUAUCAUAUUUAAGCACAAUAAAUGAACAAACAACUCUUUUGGACGAAGUUGGCGUUAAGUAUACUUUAUUCCAAGCAUUCAACUUUGUAUGAAUUUAUCUUGUUGAAAUUCUAACUGUUUGUGUUGCAACGAAAUGGAAUCAAGGUAGUCUUAUAGAAGUUGGACAUAGUGUAUUAAACAGCAGCAACGAAUUCCGCGCUUUCAAAGUUCAUAUACGGAUACAAAGGAAAAGCGACGGCAUUCGGGAAGGAUGGAAAAAAUAUAUAUAAAACAUUUCCGAGUGGGAAACUUUUUCCCUCAACCUCCCUCGCAUUAUUAAUGCACCACGUUUUCCAUGUACAAUUUUCUUUA